UUUCCGUAGGUGAACCUGCGGAAGGAUCAUUACCUUUCAAUACACAAGUGCUUUGUCGGUCGAGUUGUGCUCGCAACUCCCUUCACAGUUCUUCCUGUAUUAUCACCCUUGUCUUUUGCGUACCAUUGUUUCCUCGGCGGGCUUGCUCGCCGGUUGGACAACCUUGUAACCUAUUUAAUUUUCAAUCAGCGUCUGACAAAAAUAAUAAUUACAACUUUCAACAACGGAUCUCUUGGUUCUGGCAUCGAUGAAGAACGCAGC
rnacentral:misc_RNA from 1 species